UACGGGGGGGGCAAGCGUUGUUCGGAAUUACUGGGCGUAAAGGGCGCGUAGGUGGCCAACUAAGUCAGACGUGAAAUCCCUCGGCUUAACCUGGGAACUGCAUCCGAUACUGGUCGGCUUGAAUCCGGGAGAGGGAUGCAGAAUUCCAGGUGUAGCGGUGAAAUGCGUAGAUAUCUGGAGGAAUACCGGUGGCGAAGGCGGCAUCCUGGACCGGCAUUGACGCUGAACAGCGAAAGCUAGGGGAGCAAACGGG
rnacentral:rRNA from 1 species